UACGUAGGGGGCAAGCGUUGUCCGGAUUUAUUGGGCGUAAAGAGCGUGUAGGCGGCCAUACAGGUCAGCUGUGAAACUCGAGGCUCAACCUCGAGACGUCGGUUGAAACCGUAUGGCUAGAGUCCGGAAGAGGAGAGUGGAAUUCCCGGUGUAGCGGUGAAAUGACGCAGAUAUCGGGAAGAACACCCGUGGCGAAGGCGGCUCUCUGGGACGGUACUGGACGCUGAGACGCGAAAGCGUGGGGAGCGAACAGG
rnacentral:rRNA from 1 species